rnacentral:lncRNA from 1 species
AUGCCGAGCGUUGGUACCGUAUCAGGUGUUGCCUGUUCUCCAGCACCAACUACAACUGCUGCCCCGACUACAACCACCGCCGCGACCACAACUACCGUCCCAACUACAACCACCGCCGCGACUACAACGACCGCCACGACUACAACCACCGCCGCGACCACAACCACUGUCCCAGCUACAACUACAACCACCGCUGCGACUACAACCACCACCGCAACCACAACCACCAUCACAGCUACAACUACAACCACCGCCGUGAGCCCAACCACCGUCCCAGCUACAACCACCGCCGCAACAACAACCACUGCCGCAACAACAACCACCGCCCCAACUACAACCACCGCCCCAACAACAACUACAACCACCGCCGCGACCACAACCACCGCCCCAGCUACAACUACAACCACCGCCCCAACUACAACCACCAUUCCAACAACAACUACAACCACCGCCGCAACAACAACCACCGCUGCGACCACAAGCCCCAUCCCAGCUACAACUACAACCAAUGCCCCAACUACAACCACCACCGCAACUACAACCACCACCCCAACAACAACUACAACCACCGCCCCAACUACAACAACAACCACCGCCGCAACUACAACCACCACCCCAACAACAACUACCAUCCCAACUACAACCACUAACCCAACUACCACCAGUACAACUACAACCACCGCCCCAACAACAACCACCACCGUAACAACCACCGUCCCGACUACAACCAGUACUACGACGACCAUCACCCCAACGACAACCACCGCCCCAACUACAACCAGUACAACGCCAACCACCACCCCAACUCCAACCACCGCCCCAAUUACAACCAGUACAACGCCAACCACCACCCCAACAACCACUGUCCCAACUACAACCAGUACAACGGCAACCACCGCCCCAACUACAACCAGUACAACGGCAACCAUCACCCCAACAACCACUGUCCCAACUACAACCAGUACAACGUCAACCACCACCCCGACAACCACCGCCCCAACUACAACCAGUACAACGACAACCACCACCACGACAACCACCGCCCAAACUACAACCAGUACUACGACAACCACCACCCCAACGACAACCACCGUCCCAACUACAACCAGUACUACGACAACCACCACCCCAACAACCAUCGUCCCAACUACAACCAGUACUACGACAACGACCACCCCAACAACCACUGUCCCAACUACAACCAGUACAACGCCAACCACCACCCCAACAACCACCGUCCCAACUACAACCAGUACUACGACAACCACCACCCCAACGACAACCACCGUCCCAACUACAACCAGUACUACGACAACCACCACCCCAACAACCACCAUCCCAACUACAACCAGUACUACGACAACGACCACCCCAACAACCACUGUCCCAACUGCAACCAGUACAACGCCAACCACCACCCCAACAACCACCGUCCCAACUACAACCAGUACUACGACAACCACCACCCCAACGACAACCACCGCCCCAACUACAACCAGUACAAUGGCAACCACCACCCAAACAACAACCACCACCCCAACAACAACCACCACCCCAACAACCACCAUCCCAACUACAACCAGUACAACACCAACCACCGCCCCAACAACCACUGUCCCAACUAUUACCAGUACAACGGCAACCACCACCCCAACGACAACCACCGCCCCGACUACAACAACCACCCCAACAACCACCGUCCCAACUACAACCAGUACUACGACAACCACCACCCCAACAACCACCGUCCCAACUCCAACUAGUACAACGCCAACCACCACCCCAACAACCACCGUCCCAACUACAACCAGUACAACGCCAACCACCACCCCAACGCCAACCACCGCCCCAACUACAACCAGUACAACGGCAACCACCACCCCAACAACAACCACCACCCCAACAACCACUGUCCCAACUACAACCAGUACAACGCCAACCACCAACCCAACAACCACUGUCCCAACUACAACCAGUACAACGGCAACCACCACCCCAACGACAACCACCACCCCGACUACAACCAGUACAACGGCAACCACCACCCCAACGACAACCACUGCUCCAACAACAACAACCACCGUCACAACUACAACCAGUACAACGCCAACCACCGCCCCAACAACCACUGUCCCAACUACAACCAGUACAACGCCAACCACCACCCCAACAACCACUGUCCCAACUACAACCAGUACAACGCCAACCACUGCCUCAACAACAACCACCACCCCGGCUACAACCACUACAACUCCAACCACUACCCCAACUACAGCUACAUCCAGUACCCCAACUAUAACCUCCGCCUCAACAACAGCUACCGCCCCAACUACAACCACCACUUCAACUAUAACCAAUGCCCCAAUUGCAGCUACAUCCACCACCCCAGCUACAACAUCUGCUUCAACAACAACCACCACCCCAACUACAACUGUCACCCCAACUACAACCACGGCUCCAACUACAACCACUACUCCAACUACAACCACCGCCUCAACAACCACCACUCAAACGACAACCAUCACCCCAAAAACAACCACCGCUUCAACAACAAUCACCGCCCCAACUACAGCUACUUCCAGUACCCCAACUACAACAACCACCUCAACAACCACCACCACAACUACAACUGUCACCCCAACUAUAACCACGGCUACAACUACAACCACUACACCAACUAUAACCACGGCUACAACUACAACCACUACACCAACUACAUCCACUGCCUCAACUACAACUACCACAACCACUACCCCAACUACAACCACUACAACUACAACCACUACCCCAACUACAACUUCUUCAACUACAGCUGCAGGAUCAACUACAACUGCUGCCUCCACAACCAAAAGUGAUGCUUGUUCCAUCAGACUGGGAAUGAUCCAUCUGAUGCUUGGACUCCUUCUCUUUACCUUUCAUUAA